UACAGAGGUCUCAAGCGUUGUUCGGAUUCAUUGGGCGUAAAGGGUGCGUAGGCGGCGCGGUAAGUCGGGUGUGAAAUCUUGGAGCUUAACUCCGAAACUGCAUUCGAUACUGGCGAUCUUGAGUCCGGAAGAGGUGAGUGGAACUCCUAGUGUAGAGGUGGAAUUCGUAGAUAUUAGGAAGAACACCAGUGGCGAAGGCGGCUCACUGGUCCGGUACUGACGCUGAGGUGCGAAAGCGUGGGGAGCAAACAGG
rnacentral:rRNA from 1 species